CCUACGGGUGGCAGCAGUGAGGAAUAUUGGUCAAUGGGCGAGAGCCUGAACCAGCCAAGCCGCGUGAAGGAUGACGGUCCUACGGGUUGUAAACUUCUUUUGUCAGGGAGCAAUUGGGUCCACGUGUCGGCUUAGCGAGAGCACCUGAAGAAAAAGCAUCGGCUAACUCCGUGCCAGCAGCCGCGUUAUUACGGAGGACGCGAGCGUUAUCGGGAUUUAUUGGGUUUAAAGGGUGCGUAGGCGGAAUUUCAAGUCAGCGGUAAAAAUUCGUGGCUCAACCCCGUCGUGCCGUUGAAACUGAUAUUCUUGAGUAGGAGAGAAGUAUGCGGAAUGCGUGGUGUAGCGGUGAAAUGCAUAGAUAUCACGCAGAACUCCGAUUGCGAAGGCAGCAUGCCGGCGCCAAACUGACGCUGAAGCACGAAAGCGUGGGUAUCGAACAGGAUUAGAUACCCGAGUAGUC
rnacentral:rRNA from 1 species